rnacentral:rRNA from 1 species
AAUGCGAGAUGUUUACAUUGAGCAUUCUUAGCGGCGGACGGGUGAGUAACACGUGGGUAACCUGCCUCAGAGUGGGGGAUAGCCUUUCGAAAGGAAGAUUAAUACCGCAUAAGCUUGUAGCAUCGCAUGGUGCAGCAAGAAAAGGAGCAAUCCGCUCUGAGAUGGACCCGCGGCGCAUUAGCUAGUUGGUGAGGUAACGGCUCACCAAGGCCACGAUGCGUAGCCGACCUGAGAGGGUGAUCGGCCACAUUGGAACUGAGACACGGUCCAGACUCCUACGGGAGGCAGCAGUGGGGAAUAUUGCACAAUGGGCGAAAGCCUGAUGCAGCAACGCCGCGUGAGUGAUGAAGGCUUUCGAGUCGUAAAGCUCUUUGAUCAGGGAUGAUAAUGACAGUACCUGAAAAACAAGCCACGGCUAACUACGUGCCAGCAGCCGCGGUAAUACGUAGGUGGCGAGCGUUGUCCGGAAUUACUGGGCGUAAAGGAUGCGUAGGUGGAUAUUUAAGUGGGAUGUGAAAUCCCCGGGCUCAACCCGGGAACUGCAUUCCAAACUGGAUAUCUAGAGUGCAGGAGAGGAAAGCGGAAUUCCUAGUGUAGCGGUGAAAUGCGUAGAUAUUAGGAGGAACACCAGUGGCGAAGGCGGCUUUCUGGACUGUAACUGACACUGAGGCAUGAAAGCGUGGGUAGCAAACAGGAUUAGAUACCCUGGUAGUCCACGCCGUAAACGAUGGGUACUAGGUGUAGGAGGUAUCGACCCCUUCUGUGCCGUCGUUAACACAAUAAGUACCCCGCCUGGGGAGUACGGUCGCAAGACUAAAACUCAAAGGAAUUGACGGGGGCCCGCACAAGCAGCGGAGCAUGUGGUUUAAUUCGAAGC